rnacentral:rRNA from 1 species
GAUAAACGCUGGCGGCGCACAUAAGACAUGCAAGUCGAACGGACUUAACCUAUAGCUUACUAUUGGAGCGGUUAGUGGCGGACUGGUGAGUAACGCGUAAGCAAUCUGCCUAUCAGAGGGGAAUAACAGUGAGAAAUCACUGCUAAUACCGCAUAAGCUGUGAGUAUCGCAUGAUACAAGCAGAAAAGGAGCAAUCCGCUGAUAGAUGAGCUUGCGUCUCAUUAGCUAGUUGGUGAGGGUAACGGCCCACCAAGGCGACGAUGAGUAGCCGAUCUGAGAGGAUGACCGGCCACACUGGAACUGAGAUACGGUCCAG